rnacentral:rRNA from 1 species
GACGAACGCUGGCGGCGUGCCUAAUACAUGCAAGUCGAACGCAUUUUCUUUCACUGUAGCUUGCUACACCGAAAGAAAAUGAGUGGCGAACGGGUGAGUAACACGUGGGUAACCUGCCCAUCAGCGGGGGAUAACACUUGGAAACAGGUGCUAAUACCGCAUAAUUCCAUUUACCGCAUGGUAAAUGGAUGAAAGGCGCUUUUGCGUCACUGAUGGAUGGUCCCGCGGUGCAUUAGCUAGUUGGUGGGGUAACGGCCUACCAAGGCUGCGAUGCAUAGCCGACCUGAGAGGGUGGUCGGCCACACUGGGACUGAGACACGGCCCAGACUCCUACGGGAGGCAGCAGUAGGGAAUCUUCGGCAAUGGGCGCAAGUCUGACCGAGCAACGCCGCGUGAGUGAAGAAGGGUUUCGGGUCGUAAAACUCUGUUGUUAGAGAAGAACAAGGAUGAGAGUGGAAAGUUCAUCCCUUGACGGUAUCUAACCAGAAAGCCACGGCUAACUACGUG